rnacentral:misc_RNA from 1 species
GAAAUGCGAUACUUGGUGUGAAUUGCAGAAUCCCGUGAACCAUCGAGUCUUUGAACUCAUGUUGCGCCUGAAGCCUUCGGGCCGAGGGCACGUCUGCCUGGGCGUCACGCAUCGCGUCUCCCCCCAACACGCACUCCGUGCGGGGCGAGGGGGAGGAGGAUGGCCUCCCAUGCCUCACCGGGCAUGGCUGGCCUAAAACAGAGCCUCGGGUCACGGACUGCUGCGGCGUAUGGUGGUAUACAAGGCCUUGCCUAGGAAGCAUCGCGCCGUGCAACACGCUGCCCGCGAGGACUCGCAGGACCCUGAAGUUUGUCACCACACGGCGGCAAAAUUGUUGCGACCCCAGGUCAGGCGGGGCUACCCGCUGAGUUUAA